rnacentral:rRNA from 1 species
UACGGAGGAUCCGAGCGUUAUCCGGAUUUAAUGGGUUUAAAGGGAGCGUAGGUGGAUUGUUAAGUCAGUUGUGAAAGUUUGCGGCUCAACCGUAAAAUUGCAGUUGAAACUGGCAGUCUUGAGUACAGUAGAGGUGGGCGGAAUUCGUGGUGUAGCGGUGAAAUGCUUAGAUAUCACGAAGAACUCCGAUUGCGAAGGCAGCUCACUGGACUGCAACUGACACUGAGGCUCGAAAGUGUGGGUAUCAAACAGG